CACUCCUGCGGGAGGCAGCAGUGGGGAAUUUUGGACAAUGGGGGCAACCCUGAUCCAGCAAUGCCGCGUGAGUGAAGAAGGCCUUCGGGUUGUAAAGCUCUUUUGUCAGGGAGGAAACGGUAGUAGCGAAUAACUACUACUAAUGACGGUACCUGAAGAAUAAGCACCGGCUAACUACGUGCCAGCAGCCGCGGUAAUACGUAGGGUGCAAGCGUUAAUCGGAAUUACUGGGCGUAAAGCGUGCGCAGGCGGUUGUGUAAGUCAGAUGUGAAAUCCCCGGGCUCAACCUGGGAAUUGCAUUUGAGACUGCACGGCUAGAGUGUGUCAGAGGGGGGUAGAAUUCCACGUGUAGCAGUGAAAUGCGUAGAUAUGUGGAGGAAUACCGAUGGCGAAGGCAGCCCCCUGGGAUAACACUGACGCUCAUGCACGAAAGCGUGGGGAGCAAACAGGAUUAGAAACCCCUGUAGUCCCA
rnacentral:rRNA from 1 species